rnacentral:misc_RNA from 1 species
CGGUUCUGGCAUCGAUGAAGAACGCAGCGAAAUGCGAUAAGUAAUGUGAAUUGCAGAAUUUAGUGAAUCAUCGAAUCUUUGAACGCACAUUGCGCCCGUUAGUAUUCUAGCGGGCAUGCCUGUUCGAGCGUCAUUUCAACCCUUAAGCCUUUGUUGCUUAGCGUUGGGAGCCUACGGUAGCGUAGCUCCUCAAAAUCAGUGGCGGAGUCGGUUCACACUCUAGACGUAGUACAUUUUAUCUCGUCUGUGAGUUGGGCUGGUCCCCUGCCGUAAAACCCCCUAAUUUCUAAAGGUUGACCUCGGAUCAGGUAGGAAUACCCGCUGA